GGUUGUGGCUUUGUGGUAGAGUGCUUGCCUAGCAUGCUUGAGGCACUGGUUUCGAUCCUCAGUACCA
rnacentral:tRNA from 1 species